AUUGAACGCUGGCGGCAUGCCUUACACAUGCAAGUCGAACGGCAGCACGGGUGCUUGCACCUGGUGGCGAGUGGCGAACGGGUGAGUAAUACAUCGGAACAUGUCCUGUAGUGGGGGAUAGCCCGGCGAAAGCCGGAUUAAUACCGCAUACGAUCUACGGAUGAAAGCGGGGGACCUUCGGGCCUCGCGCUAUAGGGUUGGCCGAUGGCUGAUUAGCUAGUUGGUGGGGUAAAGGCCUACCAAGGCGACGCUCCGUAGCUGGUCUGAGAGGACGACCAGCCACACUGGGACUGAGACACGGCCCAGACUCCUACGGGAGGCAGCAGUGGGGAAUUUUGGACAAUGGGCGAAAGCCUGAUCCAGCAAUGCCGCGUGUGUGAAGAAGGCCUUCGGGUUGUAAAGCACUUUUGUCCGGAAAGAAAUCCUUGGCCCUAAUACGGUCGGGGGAUGACGGUACCGGAAGAAUAAGCACCGGCUAACUACGUG
rnacentral:rRNA from 1 species